rnacentral:tRNA from 1 species
UAGCUCAGUUGGUAGAGUGUUUGCUUCACAUGCACAAGGCCCUGGGUUCAAUCCCCAG